GGAAGGAUCAUUAUUGAAAUAAAUCUGGUGAGUUGCUGCUGGUUCUCUAGAGAAUAUGUGCACACUUAUCAUCUUUAUAUCUCCACCUGUGCACCUUUUGUAGACCUGGAUCUCUCUCUGAAUGCUAGCCAUUCAGGAUUGAGGAUUGACUUUAUGUCUCUCCUUACAUUUUCAGGCCUAUGUUUCUUUAUAUACCCCAAUGUAUGUCAUAGAAUGUAAUCAACGGCCUUUGUGCCUAUAAACCUAUACAACUUUCAGCAACGGAUCUCUUGGCUCUCGCAUCGAUGAAAAACGCAGCGAAAUGCGAUAAGUAAUGUGAAUUGCAGAAUUCAGUGAAUCAUCGAAUCUUUGAACGCACCUUGCGCUCCUUGGUAUUCCGAGGAGCAUGCCUGUUUGAGUGUCAUUAAUAUAUCAACCUCUUCAGCUUUUGCUUGUUGAGUGUUGGAUGUGGGGGUCUUUUUUGCUGGUCUUCUCAGGUCAGCUCCCCUGAAAUGCAUUAGCGGAACAAUUUGUUGACCGUUCAUUGGUGUGAUAACUAUCUACUCUAUUGACGUGAAGCAUUUCAGCUUCUAACAGUCCAUUGACUUGGACAAAUUUUCAUUAAUGUGACCUCAAAUCAUGUAGGACUACCCGCUGAACUUAAGCAUAUCAAUAAGCGGAGGAAAAGACACUAACAAGGAUUCCCCUAGUAACUGCAAGUGAAGCGGGAAAAGCUCAAAUUUAAUAUCUGACAGUCUUCGGCUGUCCGAGUUGUAAUCUAGAGAAGUGUUAUCCGCGCUGGACCGUGUACAAGUCUCCUGGAAUGGAGCGUCAUAGAGGGUGAGAACCCCGUCUUUGACACGGACUGCCAGGGCCUUUGUGAUGCGCUCUC
rnacentral:rRNA from 1 species